CAGUAGAUGGAUCCUGAUCAAUGCUGAAAAGCUUUUUCUUGUGCAUCAAAAAAUAGAGCGAGGAUCUCUGAAGACUCUGUGACUUGGCAAAGUGAAGAACACCAGAAAGGCAGAGUGAAGAACACAAGAUCGUGUAACUUGUCUUCUGCAUAUUCAGGGUACGGUGUUCCCAUUGCUUCAUCUUUUACCGACGAUUGAGAUGAAGAAAAGCAAUUGCAGACUCCAUCUUUGUUCUUCUGCUUCGUUUGCAUCUCAAUUUUGGAGAAACUUUGAUAUCUUGGUUUCAAUCCUCCAAGACAAGCUAUCAUGACAACACAAGCAUCAACAUCAUCUUCCAUCCGUGAUCAUUGGACUUACGAUGUCUUUAUCAAUUUUAGAGGAGAAGAUACUCGUUAUGGUUUUACAGGAAAUCUAUAUCAUGAUCUAACUAAAAAGGGAGUUCACACCUUCUUUGAUGAUGAGGAAAUAAGAAAGGGAGAUGAAAUUACUCCAACACUUUACAAAGCAAUCGAAGAAUCUAGGAUGGCCAUAUGUGUAUUUUCUAAAAACUACGCGUCCUCAACAUUUUGCCUUGACGAACUUGUCCACAUCCAUCAAUGUUUUAAGAGAGAUGGACGGAGAAUUUGGCCAAUCUUUUAUGAAGUGGAGCCCUCAGAAGUGAGACUUCAAAAAGGGAACUAUGCACAAGCUUUGGAUGACCAUAAAAUUAAAAACAGAGUUGAUGAAAACAAGAUGCAAGGUUGGAAGCUUGCACUACAUGAAGUGGCAAAUAUCUGUGGCAAACAUCUCAUGCCAAGGCAUGGUCCAUAUGAAUAUCAAUUAAUUGAAGAGAUUGUGAAAGAAAUCUCUAGCAAAAUCAACAGGCUCCCCUUACACGUCGAUGAUUAUCUUGUUGGAAUAGACCAUAGAUUGCAACAAAUAAACCCUCAAUUACAGCUUGAAUCAAAUGAAGAGGUCAUCAUGUUUGGAAUUUAUGGAAUAGGGGGAAUGGGUAAAACAACUAUAGCUCGUGUCAUGUAUAACUCAUUGGCAGAUAAUUUUGAAGGUCUAUGCUUCCUCCAUGAUAUUAAAGGAAACUCAAGUAGUUUGGAAAGAAUGCAAGAGAGAAUACUUUCAGAGAUUUUAGAGAUGGAGAUUAAAAUUGAAGAUGUGAACAAAGGAGUUACAAUUAUAAAAAAGAGGCUCAAACAAAAGAAAAUCCUUUUGAUCCUUGAUAAUGUUGAUAAGCAUGGGCAAUUGCAAAAAUUAGCCGGUAACUGUGAUUGGUUUGGUGCUGGUAGUAGGAUCAUUAUUACGACGAGGGACAAACAUUUACUUGAAAAACAUGGAGUUGAGAGAAAAUAUGAGAUUGGAGCAUUGAAUGAUGAAGAAUCUCUUAAAUUAUUAAGUUGGAAAGGUUUUAGAAGUAUGCAAGUUCAUGCAAGUCACAAGAAAGUUGUGGAAAGUUUGAUGCAUUAUGUGCAAGGUCUUCCCUUAGCACUAGAAGUUAUAGGCUCUAACUUGCAAGGUAAGACUGUGAGGGAGUGGGAAUCUGCAUUAAAUCUAUAUGAAAGAAUUCCCAAUGAAAAAAUUCAUCAACUAUUGAAAGUAAGCUACAAUGGCUUAGAACCAGCUGAAAAAGAAAUUUUUCUUGAUAUUGCUUGCUUCUUCAAUGGCUUCGUGAAUGGAAGUUUGAACUAUGUUGAAGAAAUGGAGAAACUUGUUCACAAUAUUGAUCCAUACUAUAGUAUUAGCGUGUUGGCAGACAAAUGCCUUAUAAAGAUUCAGGAUGGUUGUAUUAAGAUGCACGAUUUAAUACAAGAUAUGGGAAGAGAAAUUGUUCGUCAAGAAUCGCCAAACGAGCCCGGAAAACGCACUAGGUUAUGGAUCAAUCAAGAUAUCGUUCAUGUUUUGGAAAAAAAUACAGGAUCAGAAGAAGUUGGUAUUAUAAUUUCAAGAGAUCAAUCCAAAUGUAUAGAAGUGAAUUGGGAUGGAAAAGCCUUCAAGAAGAUGAAGAAUCUCAAAAUUCUUAUGUUGAAUCAGAAUAUGAAGUUUUUAGAAGGCCCCAAAUAUCUACCUAAUAGUUUGAAAGUGUUGAGAUGGCCGAGAUAUCCUUCAUCAUGUUUGCCACUCAACUUUCAUCCAAAGGAACUUUUUGAAUUGGAUAUGGGACUUGGUUGUCUAAAGUCAGUAGAAAUGAUUAAGAAUGUCUCAAAUCUGAGUGUUUUGAAUCUUGGAGGUUGCCAAUACAUUACACAAAUACCUAAUUUAUCUGGCCUCUCAAAUUUAAAGGAAUUGUGUGUUUACGGGUGCCAAAAUUUAAUUGCAAUUGAUGAUUCUGUUGGAGAAUUAACAAAACUUGAAACCUUGGAUGUGCAAGCAUGUGCAAAACUUAAAACCUUUCCCCAUGGUAUCAAGUCACCGUAUCUUCAAAGGCUCGAACUUUCUGGUUGCAAAAGCCUGAAGUACUUUCCAGAAAUACUAGAGAAAGUGCAACUAACUGAACUGUCUUUUUGGGAAACUGGAAUAGAAGAACUUCCUUCAACUAUUUGCAAUCUUACUCAACUUGAGGAGAUAACAAUUAGUGGGAAAGUUGAGCCACCAAGUAUGGAUUUUCUGUUGCUAGAACAAUGUGAUAAUUUUGAUGAAGGUUGUGGAAAGUUGCUGAAGGAAGUGAUUCUAUUUCCAAACUUAGAUAUUGUUGACCUCACAGAAUGUAAUAUAUCAAGCAGUAAGAGCCUUCAAAGUUAUCUUUCUUGGUUCUCCACCAUGAGAGAGUUGAACUUGAGCAACAAUGACUUUAUUACAAUUCUGCCAGCAUGCAUAAAAGAAUGUCGCUUUUUGUGGAGGCUUAGUUUAGGUUGGUGCAGGCAUCUGCGAGAAGUGGAAGGGAUUCCACCAAACAUAAAACAGUUGGAUGCAGAAGGUUGCAUAUCAUUGAGUUUAGAGUCGAGAAACUUAAUCUUGAGUGAGCAGCUAAUUAUUGGGGCUGCAGUGAUCAGAGAUGUGGAGAUUGUUGAUGAUGAGUGUUUUGAAUUUCUGAAAACAGAAUUCGUUGUGCCAGCAUCAAGCAUUCCAGAAUGGUUCCAUCACUGUAGCAAAGGAGCACCUUUUUCAUUUUGGUUUCGUAACUCCUUUCCAACUCUAUGUCUUUGUGCUCUUCCUAAAUUUAAUGGUGACAUGGAUUACAAACAUAAAUUCAUAGAUUUGGUCCCUAAAGUAGUAAUUAAUGGAGAAAGAAUAUCUACGAUAUUGGACAAAUAUGAUACCACAUUGUGGUCAGGAAGUUUAUGGGAUCAGGAACAUAUAAUCAUCUGUGAUCUUCGAGAGGAAUACUUUGAUGGAGAUGAUGAAGUAAUAGAUGGAUUACAAGAAGGUGUGUGGCAUUAUGUGGAGGUUUUCUUGUCAUUUUCUCCAUCACCACCUGAUUGGAUGGGUGUUGUGAAAGAGAGUGGAAUCUAUAUACUGAAACAAGAUUGUAACAUGGAAGAUAUCCAAUUCACUUGUCCUAAAUUUAAUUCAAUUCCCAUGAAUAUUGUCCAAGAAGAGCAACCAAUGCUGAAAAAGAGGCGGUUGAUGGAAGAUAAUGAUCUUAUUUCAAUUCAAGAUUCCAUGAGUGUUGACCAAGAACUAGAAACCCCUGUUUCAGGUAAGAAGGAUUUCCAUAGCAAUCUUCUGCAGCUACAAGAAAUUGAAUACGAAAGCAAAAUGCAGACAAUAAACAUUCAAUUUUCAAGUAGCGAAAGUGAAGAAUCAGUUAAAGUAAGGAGGCUAAAUAACAAUAUGCCACAUCAACAAGAUGAAGCUUUAACCAGUGAUCAAAUCACAGAGAGCUGUGAAUAUGUCAUAAAUGGCAAAGGAAAAGACAUUGUACUCUACAAAGAUGAUCCCAUUAAUGGCAACAAUAUAACAGAGAUGAUCGGACAAGACUACCUAUAUGACUCAAAUACCAAAGGCAGCAUGACAUGGGAUCCAAUGGAAUGUGAACAUGAAGGAACAAGUCAUGCUAACAAUAAUAAGGAUCCAUGUGACCAGAGAAGACAUCAUCCAUGGUUUUUGUGUUUUAAUCUCUUCACUUUCGUUGCCUCGCUCUGUUCUUCUUCUUUAUCAUAUUUCUCCAUUACAAGAAACUAAAAUGAAUUAUCAUUGGACUCUUUAAUUUGAACUCCUUUGUUAGAUAUAAAUUCUGGGCUCUAGACUCUUGUAAUGGUUUUGGUAUCAAGAUUUGGCUCAUUUUAAUUCACUGAAAAUUGUUUGAUGUAGAAACCUUAUUCAUAUGAUUUACAUUCUAAUUAUUGACAUUCUAAUUAAUUGUUUGAUAUUAAUGAUUUCUAUGUUAAAAGAAUUUUAAUUAUUUACACUCUAAUUUUCUGUCCACUUGUAUAUGUAUGCAAGCAUGCGUGUCAAUAAUGAUAGUCCUUCCACAGAAGAGCAACCAACGCUAAAAAGAGGUGGUUGAUGGAGGAUAAUCAUGUUAUUUCAAACAAGACUCCCUUGUUUCAAGUAAGGAGGAUCUCCAUAGCAAAUUUCUACCGCUACAGGUAAUUAAGCUCAUUUGUUUUGGAUUUUGAGACAUUUAUUAGAUUUUUGGUGGAUCAGUCUAUAAGUCUUCUUGAGUUUUCACAAAUAUUGUGUAGGAAAUUGAAUAUGAAAGCAAAACACAAAUAAUAGACAUUCAACCUCCAAAUAGAUCAAAUGAAGAAUUGGUUCAAAUAAGAAAGCCAGGUAUGAAUAUGACGCAACAAAAAGAUAAAGCUUCAACCAAUGAUCAAAUCACAAAGAACUUUGAAAAUGUCAUAAAUGGCAAAGGAAAAGACAUGUUACUCGACAGAGAUGAUGCCAUCAAUGACAACAAUAUAACAGAGGUAUAUGUUGUAACUAAUUUAUAUCAUUUUGAAGAUUAAUUAGGAAAUUUCUUCAUAGGUAUUUUGUCAAAUGAGGAACAUAUACAUUUACAUUAAAAAUCAUAUAACUUGUUUUCUGGUUGAAAUUGAAUCAUACCAUUUUUAUUAUAUAGAAAAUAUGAUGUUUUCAGCAAUGGAAGAGCACACAUAUAAUAUAUCCUAAGCAUUUAGCAAUAUGAUGUUUUCACCAUUGCCAGUAUUUUUUUGUCAUUUGCCCUUCUUUGAUGUGUAUGUUUGACUGUUUUUUUUUUCAGGUGGGAGAUUUAGAGAUAAAUAAAUAAAUUGAGUAUUUGAUAAAAACACACAUGCAUACACAUAAAUAUAGGGAAAAUAUUCAGAAUACGUGAAUGGUAGGGUUGCAAUUGUGAAAUGCUACUAGUUGAUUAACUUCUUUUUUUCCCCCCUUGUUGCCUGAUCAGAUGACUGGACAAGAUAACAAAUAUGACUCAAAUGGCAACAUGACAUGGGAUCCAAUGGAAUGGGAAGAAUAUGAAGCAACAAGUCAUGAUCAUAUUAAUAAUAAUAGGAUCAACAUGAACAGAGAAGAGAUCAUCCAUGGUUUUUGUGUUUCCAUCUCUUCACUUUCGUUGCCUCGCUCUGUUCUUCUUCUUAAAUAGAUCUUUCUCCAUUACAAGACACUAGAAUGAAUUAUCACUGAACCUUAUUUAAUUUGAACUCUUUUUUUAGCUAUAAAUCCUGGACUUUGGACUCUUUUGUAAUGGUUUUGGUUUCCUCAUAUUUUGAUGGCAAAUUAACACUGA